rnacentral:sRNA from 1 species
GCUGGGUGUGGUGGUGCACACCUGUAGUCCCAGCCACUCAGAGACUGAGGCAGGAGGAUUGCUUGAGCCCAGGAGGUCAAGGCUGCAGUGAGCCAUCCAUGAUCAUGCCACUGCGCUGCAGCCUGGGUGACAGAGCAAGACCCUGUCUCAA